UAGCUUUUCCCAAGGAUACCGUGUCU
rnacentral:piRNA from 1 species